rnacentral:rRNA from 1 species
GGUUGACCGGCGCUGUCGCCGCCGUCCACAAAUGACACGGCACCAUUUGCCGUGUGCCGUGACACGACUUGCUUUCUUUCUCUGGCGGUGGCGGCCUCUCACCCCGUCUCCGGCAUGGACGUCCUGGCGCCGCUGUCCCGCGCGCAUAUCGGCUCGCCGGCCGCGGCGGCCGCCUCCGCUCGCCCAUACGUUCUUCAUCGUUUCAACCGGAGGACCAUCCGCCGGCGAGGCGCCGGCCUGCGCUGCCGCCGGCGCCUGCUCAGCGCGCGGGGAGAGCGCCCGGCUCCGGAUGACGAUGAGGACGACGGGGAGGUGGCUGGGUUCGACGCAGCGGUGGCGCUAUUCAACGGCGGGGAGUACCACGCGUGCCACGACGUGGUAGAGGAGCUCUGGUACAGCGCCGAGGACCCCGGCCGGACGCUCCUCCACGGCGUCCUCCAGUGCGCCGUAGGCUUCCACCACCUCUUCAACCAGAACCACCGCGGCGCCAUGAUGGAGCUCGGGGAAGGCCUCUGCAAGCUCCGCCGCCUGCGCCUGGAGGACGACGGCGACCAAGGGCCCUUCUCUCGAUUCCGGGACGAGGUCGCCGCCGUGCUCAGCUUCCUCUACCGCACCCAGAAGGAGCUCGCGGCAUGUAACGACGAGCUGUGCUUGGCCAUGGAUGGCUCCGCGACCUCGUACCAGCUGCUCGGCGACUUCGCUGCCGGGCAGCGGCUGUACCGGCAGGGAGUCGACGCGGACGGCGUCCCGAGCAUCCUCUUCUCCGGCCGCUCAUCCGGCGACUACCUCGCUCCUCCAUGCACGGUGAAACUUCCAUCGCUACACGCCACGGAGCAGCACCUCGCGGCGCUCCAGCGCGCGCACGAGUACUCGUAGCUAGUAGUUCCAUUUUUGUUGUAUACUCGUAGCUAGGUAGCCAGCCAGAUGCAACAAAUUCGAUGAAACUUUGUAAACAAAAAAAUUCCAGGGCAAUCUGAUACUACUCGUUUAUUUUCUGAAUGGAGUAGAUCAAGCCACGCCACGUAAUCCACGUGAAACGUUGAUCUGUGCCAAACUUCACUUUCGCAUUCGAAAAUAUGGUACUCCGUCCGGUCUAUAAUGUUGACAUGUUUGACUUUAAAAAAAAAACACUACAUUUUUGAAUGAAAAGAGUAUUUUAAAUAUGACUAGGAAAAUGGCCCGUGCGUUGCAACGGGAAUACAAUCGUCCCUUGAUUGAUACCUUUUUUUUUUUGCCUUACCAGGGAUCCAUUCUAGCCCCACAAUGAAGCCUGACUGUUCCCGCAAAAAAAAAUGAAGCCUGACUGUCACCACGAUGAUAGGGCAUGACAGUCUGUCUCGAGAAGGUCCUCGGAAUCGGAUAGACCUAACGCGACCAUGGCCUCCUACUACACAUCUGCCCAACAUCCUUGCCAAGGCCCAGAUGACGGGCAUCCUCCCUUGUUGUGUUAGUCGAGGCCGGCGGCCGGCCAAUGGCACCGUCAUUGCGUGUGCGUUGCUAUAGAAAAAAAAUGUGUCUAAAGUUUUUAUCUUGCGGACUAUAUCUAAAGGGGAGAUUCAAAAGAGAACGAUGUGGCUCACGUACCCAGGUCAUUGUAUCUGAAGUUUCUAUUUAUUCGGGAUGGCGC